CCUGAAUUAGGCUAUGUACUCCAUGUGAUAUUAAGUAAACUGCAAGAGGAUACUUUGGAGUUUCACAGCUGAGCACGUGAGAAAUCAGACACAGAAAAACAGUUGUGAUUCAUCCAGGGAUUUGUGAGGAGGAAAGUGAUGAGGGCUCUCUUUCCCAGAAUCUGCAAUCUGGUAUUUUUCCAGAAAAAAAUCGAAUGCCUCGCAUAGGACCACGGACGGACUGAGUCAUUGUGCUGGAUGGAUGGGUGGAGACAGGCUGAAAGACCAUGUGCCUGUCUGAUAUACGGACUCAGGGGUAUUCUUAUUUCAGGCUGGUGGGUCGAACGCAUGGAGGCAGAUGCAGAUUAAUUUGAAGAAAAGAAGACAAGCCAUUCCUUGCAUGCCUG
rnacentral:lncRNA from 1 species